CGGGUGAGUAACACGUGGGUAACCUGCCCAUAAGAGGGGGAUAACAUCCGGAAACGGGUGCUAAUACCGCAUAGUUUUCUUGAUCGCAUGAUCGGGAAAGGAAAGACGGCCUUUUGUGCUGUCGCUUAUGGAUGGACCCGCGGCGUAUUAGUUAGUUGGUGAGGUAACGGCUCACCAAGACGAUGAUACGUAGCCGACCUGAGAGGGUGAUCGGCCACAUUGGGACUGAGACACGGCCCAAACUCCUACGGGAGGCAGCAGUAGGGAAUCUUCCGCAAUGGACGAAAGUCUGACGGAGCAACGCCGCGUGAGUGAAAGAAGGUUUUCGGAUCGUAAAACUCUGUUGUCAGAGAAGAACAAGUUGGAGAGUAACUGCUCCAGCCUUGACGGUAUCUGACCAGAAAGCCACGGCUAACUACGUGCCAGCCGCCGC
rnacentral:rRNA from 1 species